rnacentral:rRNA from 1 species
AUGGCUCCUCUUGGUGACGCUGUUGCCCCCGCGUCCGCCGCCGCCCCAGGCCUCGUCGUCUCUUUCGGCGAGAUGUUGAUCGACUUCGUGCCUGACGUUGCCGGGGUCUCCCUCGCCGAGUCCGGCGGCUUCGUCAAGGCGCCUGGAGGCGCGCCCGCCAACGUUGCUUGCGCCAUCUCCAAGCUCGGCGGCUCCUCUGCCUUCAUCGGAAAGUUUGGCGAUGACGAGUUCGGCCACAUGCUGGUGGAGAUCCUGAAGCAGAACGGCGUGAACGCCGAGGGCUGCCUGUUCGACCAGCACGCGCGCACGGCCCUGGCCUUCGUCACGCUCAAGUCCAACGGCGAGCGUGAGUUCAUGUUCUACCGCAACCCGUCGGCCGACAUGCUCCUGACCGAGGCCGAGCUCAACCUGGACCUGAUCCGCCGCGCCCGCAUCUUUCACUACGGCUCCAUCUCGCUCAUCACCGAGCCCUGCCGCUCGGCGCACGUCGCCGCCAUGCGUGCCGCCAAGUCGGCCGGCAUCCUCUGCUCGUACGACCCCAACGUCCGCCUGCCGCUCUGGCCCUCGGCGCAGGCCGCCCGCGACGGCAUCAUGAGCAUCUGGAAGGAGGCCGACUUCAUCAAGGUGAGCGACGACGAGGUGGCCUUCCUCACCCAGGGCGACGCCACCGACGAGAAGAACGUGCUCUCGCUCUGGUUUGAGGGACUCAAGCUGCUCAUCGUCACCGACGGCGAGAAGGGGUGCAGGUACUUCACCAAGGACUUCAAGGGCUCCGUGCCCGGCUACUCUGUCAACACCGUCGACACCACCGGCGCCGGCGACGCCUUCGUCGGCUCCCUCCUCGUCAGCGUCUCCAAGGACGACUCCAUCUUCUACAAUGAGGCGAAGCUGAGGGAGGUGCUGCAGUUCUCGAACGCUUGCGGCGCCAUCUGCACCACCAAGAAGGGAGCCAUCCCGGCGCUGCCCACCACCGCCACCGCCCUGGAGCUCAUCAGCAAGGGCAGCAACUAG